CAAAGACUGUCAAGUGGUGAAAAAGUGGCAGCGGAGCAUAAAAAAUCAUGUCUAUUGGACAGCAGCUUCUUCCAAAACAGCUGAGGAGAGAGUAGCGAAGUGGUUGUCUAUGGUAAACCACAUUCAAGAUGUUCACGUCCAUGACACCCCAGCCUUCCCACGGUGUGAACAUGCAACACAUGUAUCAAAGGACCCCACCAAGUGGUUUCAACCAGCAACUAAGGCACUGUACACCGUCGAGAAGCUUCUCACAAACAAGAGAAUGCUGAAAGAUGUUGAGAAACUCAGCCCUCACUUUCAAACUUCGUCUUUGGAAGCUUUUCACAGCGUAAUUUUACGCUUUGCUCCCAAAAACGUUGUUUACCCUUACAUUGGAAUGUUAUGCAGACUGUACUUGGCAUGUAUGCAUUUCAAUGAGAACUCCAACCGUCCUCAGGCUAAAACAAAAAUGGGAAAGCCAGUGUAUAGGCUUUUGUUUCCCAAAGCCAAAAAGGGGGAAUACU